GCCUUGGGUCAUUUUCCCUUCUGCGUUUAUUAUUUCGUUAUUGUAAAAUGUCACUUUGCCUAUAAAAUAUUUUGCGUUGCUGUCAAGUUUUAUUUGGUUCAGCUUUUAAGUUAGGAGCAUUUGUGGCUGAACACUCCAGUCUGUGCCAAAGGAAUUUUCCAAGCUACAGUGUUUGUUAGUUUUGUAAAUACACACAUUGUUCUUAAGGUACUUUGGGAACAAACAAUGGUUUAAAAAAAUACACGCUUAAGCAAAAGACACACAUUCACAAUUUGACUUAGGUCUGAUGGGAACGUCCUUUAUUAUAUAAACUGAACUUUAAAAUUGCUUUUAGAAUUGAUUUGGGUGGAAGAAAAAGGCAAAUAAUCUAUGUCGUUCAUGGGACAGUUAGUCACCAGGAAAAAUAGCAAACUGUCUGAAGCAAAAAGAAAAGUUCCUUAAAAGCUUUAACACGCAUGAGAUGAUUCAGUUUUGCCGCAUUAUCCUGGUCUGAUCCACUUUCCCACCCACGAUUUCAAUUUCAGUGACCUUUUCCUUAUCAUUCGUUUUUCAAAACUGUCAUCCAAAUUUCCAGCUGCUUCUCUAGCAUGUAAGACACAAGCCAGCCUGGUGGAAACUCCAACUGUUGCCCUUUCCUCUACUGCUUCUUCCUAAAUAGAAACUCUUCAUUAAAGUAAUUCUCUCUGUAUCGUUUGAUGAGCAACAGCCUGGUACCAGGAGCGAUUCCUGUGAUCUAUCCAGAGGCAGCAGCCAGGCAAGGGCAUGGCUAAGCUCUGCCCACCCACUGAAAGACUAUAUCUUGGGCUUGUCCUGUUACCGGGUGAGUUCAUCUUGUUCGGGAAGAUUAGUGCCACCACAGGCACUUGGGAUUCUUCUCCACAUUCUUCCUUUCAUUUCUAAUGAGGCUUUUCAGAGGCAGCCUGGCCCUCAGCUAUGUUCCUGGAGAAUGGCACAUGGUUGACCCUCUCAUGCAGGUUCAUGGGCGUGCUCUGUUCUUCUUUGUAUGAUAACAAAUUGUGCCCUUCUUCAAAUUGAUGGCCAAUUCCCCAAGAGGAAAUUUGAUUAGAUGAAAGUUUACCUGCUGCAAAAAUCAGAAGUUCAUUUCCCUGGCAAGAUGGAAAUUUGGCAAUAGUUUAAAACGCUUUUAUUUUGAAAUAAUUAAAGACUCAUGAGAAGUUUGCAAAAAUAGCACAGAAAGGUCCCAUGUUCCCAUCACUCCACUUUCUGCAAUGAUACCAUCUUAUACAAUAUUAUAUACUAACACAAUCAGGAAAUUGGCGAUGUUUUUACAGCAAGAGAAAAUGGGCAUCUAAAAGCCUCAAAUGUACACUUAGUAUUUGGAGUUCUGGUCCACUGUUUGCUUAAAGAAUGGCUGCAAAUUAGUCACACAGGGACACUCCAUGCAUCAUGAAAAAAAAGGAUCCCAUUAAAAGCUAUUCAAGGCCACCUUGAACUCUAUUCCCACACAGAAAAGAUUGUACGCAAAAGUUGGUGCAUUAUUAAGGAAAAGAGGCUUUCAAAAAUAAGAGACCUUCAAAUAAUCUUAGUCGCCUUUAAAAAUAGGCGUUCUUGGUUAAUUGGGUUACUCCUGGCAUCUGUUUGUGUGAUCCAGUUCCCCAGAUAUCUUGAACACUAUGCUGGCUGAAUAAAGCUUGGGAAGAAUGGAAGAGCCA
rnacentral:lncRNA from 1 species